CACGUAGGGCGCAAGCGUUGUCCGGAAUUAUUGGGCGUAAAGAGCUCGUAGGUGGUUUGCUGCGUCCGCUGUGAAAACCCAAGGCUUAACCUUGGGCUUGCAGUGGAUACGGGCAGACUAGAGGUAGGUAGGGGAGAAUGGAAUUCCUGGUGUAGCGGUGAAAUGCGCAGAUAUCAGGAGGAACACCGGUGGCGAAGGCGGUUCUCUGGGCAUUACCUGACGCUGAGGAGCGAAAGUGUGGGGAGCGAACAGG
rnacentral:rRNA from 1 species